AUGACAAAAUAAACCACUUUGGGGAAAGAUAGCAGCUUGCUGUGCCUAAAGACUAGCUAGCCAAUUAAUGGAUGUUCUAAGUUCAUCAUCAAGAAAUGGUAGCCUUGGCAACAAAAUGGUGCCUGCCAUGGAAAUAGCACCCUAAAAUGGAGGCUGAAAACAACUGGCAGCCUCUGAGAGGGGAGAUGUGGGAGGGGUUUUCUGGCCCUGAUGUGCUUCCAGGAUGAUCAGGAAGGCAGAGGCUGAGCUGCUAUCCAGUCCCAGGAUGGCAUGAGGAAGUUGUUUGUAGCAGUGGCAGGAAAAUUGUUCUGUGGGGUUAAGAGAGGUGGGAAAUUGAUCGUGUGACCAGCAUAUGGCUUCCAGGUCCAGCAGCAUGGGCAGCGAGGAGUAGGAUAGUGAGUUGACCCAGGAUGACCUGGGCAGGAGGAAGGUGGUGACAGAUGAUGCUGGACUAAAAGACCUGGCUUCUGUUCACUUCUGGUUUACUGCUGACUCCAACUACUUCACUGGGACAAGGAAGAGACGGAUGUACACUAAAGAGAUCUCUCCUGGUUGAAGUGCAAAUAUUAUUAAGGAAAGAAAAAGUAAUCUAAAAGGAA
rnacentral:lncRNA from 1 species